GAGUUUGAUCGUGGCUCAGAUUGAACGCUGGCGGCAUGCCUUACACAUGCAAGUCGAACGGCAGCAUGAUCUAGCUUGCUAGAUUGAUGGCGAGUGGCGAACGGGUGAGUAAUACAUCGGAACGUGCCCUGUAGUGGGGGAUAACUAGUCGAAAGAUUAGCUAAUACCGCAUACGACCUGAGGGUGAAAGUGGGGGGACCGCAAGGCCUCAUGCUAUAGGAGCGGCCGAUGUCUGAUUAGCUAGUUGGUGGGGUAAAGGCCCACCAAGGCGGCGAUCAGUAGCUGGUCUGAGAGGACGAUCAGCCACACUGGGACUGAGACACGGCCCAGACUCCUACGGGAGGCAGCAGUGGGGAAUUUUGGACAAUGGGGGCAACCCUGAUCCAGCAAUGCCGCGUGUGUGAAGAAGGCCUGGUGU
rnacentral:rRNA from 1 species